GCCGGCGUAGCUCAAUUGGUAGAGCGGCGGUCUCCAAAACCGUGGGUUGCAGGUUCGAAUCCUGUCGCCGGUGCCA
rnacentral:tRNA from 1 species